UUGGAGAGGUCUCCUAGCUGCAUGUUCCUC
rnacentral:piRNA from 1 species